rnacentral:tRNA from 1 species
GCCCUGGUGGCACAAUGGUCAAGUGCUUGGCUGCUAACUGAAAGGUUGGUGGUUCGAACCCACCCAGUGGCU